rnacentral:rRNA from 1 species
CGGCCCGCGUUAGAUUAGUUAGUUGGUGGGGUAAUGGCCUACCAAGACUACGAUCUAUAGCUGGUUUGAGAGGAUGAUCAGCAACACUGGGACUGAGACACGGCCCAGACUCCUACGGGAGGCAGCAGUGGGGAAUCUUAGACAAUGGGGGCAACCCUGAUCUAGCGAUGCCGCGUGAGUGAUGAAGGCCUUAGGGUCGUAAAGCUCUUUCGCCUGUGAUGAUAAUGACAGUAGCAGGUAAAGAAACCCCGGCUAACUCCGUGCCAGCAGCCGCGGUAAUACGGAGGGGGUUAGCGUUGUUCGGAAUUACUGGGCGUAAAGCGCACGUAGGCGGAUUAGUCAGUCAGAGGUGAAAUCCCAGGGCUCAACCCUGGAACUGCCUUUGAUACUGCUAGUCUUGAGUUCGAGAGAGGUAAGUGGAAUUCCGAGUGUAGAGGUGAAAUUCGUAGAUAUUCGGAGGAACACCAGUGGCGAAGGCGGCUUACUGGCUCGAUACUGACGCUGAGGUGCGAAAGUGUGGGGAGGCAACAGGAUUAGAUACCCUGGUAGUCCACACCGUA